rnacentral:tRNA from 1 species
GGCAUCGUAGUGUAGCGGUUAGCACAUCUGCCGAUUAGAGGAAUGCACUUUGAAAGCAGAUAGCGCGGGUUCGAAUCCCGAUGAUGCCA